rnacentral:lncRNA from 1 species
AAAUAAAUCCGCUGAGCACUCAGUGAUUUACACUCAGUUAACCGGAUUGUACAAGUCCGUCUUCAGAAGGAGUUGUGAGUCUGGACCUUAGUUAUUGGAGCAGCAAACUCUCUCCAUAGGGGUCUUCCUCCAGACUCCUCAUACGCACCCACCGCAAAGAUCACUCCACUGUGCUACUCGACAACCACAUUGACCAGGCUGAACAAUGUACCCAUAAAUGGCCUGGCUCAAGGGAGUCUGGACUGCAAACAUGCCAUUUCAGAGUGAACAGACAAGGCUACAAAUGCUGUAGUGUUUUCAGGAAGUAAACAGAAACUAAAAUAACUUAAGCAGUGGACCAC